rnacentral:rRNA from 1 species
GAUGAACGCUGGCGGCGUGCUUAACACAUGCAAGUCGAACGGUGAAGGCGGAGCUUGCUCUGCUGGAUCAGUGACGAACGGGUGAGUAACACGUGAGCAAUCUGCCCCUGACUCUGGGAUAAGCGCUGGAAACGGCGUCUAAUACUGGAUACGAGCUGCGAAGGCAUCUUCAGCAGCUGGAAAGAAUUUCGGUCAGGGAUGAGCUCGCGGCCUAUCAGCUUGUUGGUGAGGUAAUGGCUCACCAAGGCGUCGACGGGUAGCCGGCCUGAGAGGGUGACCGGCCACACUGGGACUGAGACACGGCCCAGACUCCUACGGGAGGCAGCAGUGGGGAAUAUUGCACAAUGGGCGAAAGCCUGAUGCAGCAACGCCGCGUGAGGGACGACGGCCUUCGGGUUGUAAACCUCUUUUAGCAGGGAAGAAGCGAAAGUGACGGUACCUGCAGAAAAAGCGCCGGCUAACUACGUG